CUCAAAAAUAUCAAAGCUUAAUCUUCUCUCCAUUUUGAUCAGAAAUCCCAGAGCUCCGAUUAGAAAUCCAAAAGGUAGAAGACGAAGCUCAAACUUCACCUGGCGUCACAGCGCAAACCUAAUAAGUCACCUACAUGCCCAGACCCAACGACGGAGCUCCGAGUGCCCAAAACAUUAUCCCGGCGACAGAAUUGGACUGCUCCUAAUGAACGCCGUCGAGCCGGUGAUCGAGUAGCUCGAUCUAUUUGGUUUUGAUGUGAUUUAUCAAUGGCUAGUUCUUCGUUAUCUCAAUAGGUCUACUGGUACAAUUUGAUUUUGCUCAAUUCUAUUUGUGAUAGAAGCAUCAAAAUGAUCUCUGUGGAAGCAAUUGCAUUACUGGAGUUGUGUAUGCUUUGUAUUGAUCACGUUUUUAGUUUUUGUAGUAUUGGCUUUUAAUUUCUUACUAUUUCUAGGGUUAGGUUAAGGUUGAACUCUUUGAUUUUCAAUCACUAUAUGUAUUUGAGCUGAAAUUGAUCUAGUGCUCCGUUUUUGUGCUCUCUCUAUUUGUGGAAACUUGUAGGCUAUAGUGUUGCUAAAUGUUAAACUACUAAAAGAAUGUUUUUGUUGUCUCUAUUUAGGGGGUGAUGUUGCUAUUGAAUGUCUUGGAACUUUCUUUUUGUUACCGUAUGGUGUUGGGUAGUAUAUAUAAUGAGGAUGAUUAGGUUCUUAUAACUAGACAAUUGUUUAUUGCCUGUUGUUUUUACCAGGCUUUAACUUAUGAUAUGAGUUAGGUUAAACCAAGUCCUAUAACUCCUAUUCCAUUUGGUUCAAAUCCAAAUCUGCCCCAUUAGAUUUGGGUGGAGGGUGGCUUACAUGUGCCAUCCGAACAGCCAUGAAAUGAUGAAAGAACGAAUCUAUGGAACUCAGAGUAAAAUUGAAGUGUUGAAAAGUUAAAAGAAUUGCUGGAAGUAACAUGCAAUGUGUGAUGGAAUUGUGUUAGAGCUCUGUAUGAUGUUAUUAGGUUUCUCGUAUUCAUUUUAGAUAUUUUUGUUAAGAACAUGAUUUAAUUUGAUACUACUGCUACUUCACUGAUUUUGCAUGCAGGUUCGGCUUGUCAAGGAGUUAUAUGGUAACCAGAUUAAAGAAAUUCACUAUAGCCUGACCUAGCUACCACUUGAUUUUGUUUGCAAUUGCUGAUUUUGGCUAGUCACAUGGGUUUUAUAUAUUGAGUCAUUUCCUUAUGAAGGUUAUCUUUUGAGAUCGAUCAGCAGUUUGUUAUUGUUGCUCUGAUACGCAAAUAUCCUAAGUUGCAAAAUCAUAAACUCGCCAUUUCUAUAUUUCUUUGAGAGACAAAUGUAGCUGGUAAUACUUGUUGCUUUUGAUAUAUGUUGUCACAUGAUAAUAGAUUGUUUUCUAAGUCAUCAAAAUAAAUACACUGAUUUUUGAAUGUGGUAAGCAUGAACAGAUUCAUCCUCUUGAGUAGAAAUAUUUAUUAUCAUGCUGAAGAGUGUAAUUUUCUCUUUUGCAGCAAGGUAAUUGUUAAGCUUAAGUAUGCAAAUCUUGUUUCUAUACUUCCAACCAAUGUCAGUGUAGUAGUAUGGCCCGUUUAAAUAUGGAGAUUCAGUCUAAAUAUAUCAACCAUGAAUACACUGGAAGGUCCAACUUGUCUACUCUAUGCAGAGGAUGCCUUACGAACAACCAAAUCACCAAAUGGGUCUGGUGAUUUGGCUUCCAUGAUAUAUGAAUAUGCCUAAAAGGCCUAAAGUUUACUCCAUGAUAUAUAAAAUUGUUGAGCAAUAUUGUAGCUAUAAUGAUGUACUUUCAGUUGCAUUUGACAUAAUAAUUGCUUUGCCAAUAACUUCACUGGCCAGUAACUUUUUUGUGACAUAGUCAGUGUCUUAACUAG